UUUCAUAUUGCACCGAACAGGCCCGCCCCAGUUUUCUUAGGCCCAAUGAAUACUGUAAUUUCCUUCGUUAAACCAUUCAGGGACUGCCUCUCAGACCCAGCCUCCGGCCAUCAGCCAAUCACCAGGCUCCAUGCAAAUCACCUCUUCCGUUUUCCAAACCAGACUCUGCUUUAGACGCGGUUCUUGUUACCCCGCCCCCUCCUUAUUUCCUCCGCUCCCCUCCUCCCUUCCUCCUCUGCCUCCACCCGAGCAGCUGCAGGGGAAGAGGGCAGUGCUGGGUGCCUCAUGCAUAUGCAGACAGAUCCUCCUCCUCCUUCCACCUUCUCGCGUCCGCUCCGGCAGCCUUUUCCCUUCCCCCCACCCGUCCUCUGCCGCAGCCACCGCCUCCGGUUUCCCUGGCGCGUCCGCGCGCCUCGACGUGCGGUUCCCCGAGCUCGGGUCCAGGGCAGCUAUUUCCCAGAAGGAGGCCUACUAAUGCUCUAGGAGCAGGCGCGAGAAAGGGAGGAAGGCACUAUCCUUGAAAUCCUCUCGAAGGUCAAGUUUGAGGUUUGCUGUACAGAAGCGAAAGGCGUCGAAAAUGCUGCUACAGGGUCUGAGGGAAGGUUCUGCACGCAGACUGAUUUUGUCAUGGCUUUCUCCCCCUUAAACACCAGAUUAAUUUCUCUGAAACACACAGUGUACUGGCCACGUCCAGAGGCAGGAUGACGAUAGAUAGUUUUGUAUGCCCAGAACUAUGGUGUGUAUUUGUCUUCUACAUCAAGGCUACAAUAGUUCCUUAAGCUAUAAAGCAUUGGGGAGGAGAUCAGACAGCUUGAGAUCUACUGAGAGAGAGAAGUGCCGACAUGUGGUCAGGGGAGAGUGGUGCGCAAGAUCUGUUAAAGGUGGGCAGUUAAAUGUCAGCCCCUCCAACUUACAGACAAUAGUAAAAGGUACACAAGCUUUGAAUACUGCUCUGAACUGCCCUUGAAGCACACUGAUGGGAAAAAUGUCACAGGAGAAAAUCGCGGUUUGUAUAGUGCUUUGAGAUCCUCUAAUGGGAAAGCAGGAGAAUUGCGAAGUGACCUUGUUUCAUAGAUCUCUACUCUGACACUGGAACACUUAAAGGAUUUUCUACUGAGAAUUGAGGAAAUUCCCACUCAACACUUACACCAUGAAGAAAUUAAAUCUUGGAGAAACAGAGAAGUAAAGUAAUCUGUCCAAAGCUAACAAUGAGCAAAUGAUGGAGUCAGGUGAGAAACCACUCAUUUCAGUUCCAGAUCAGUGCCUAACCAUUGCAUGUUUCUGCCUAGCAAAGGUUCAGCAACUUGCCCAGGAAAUUUGUUAAGUGUUGGGUUGUAAAUUAGAGCCAUUGAAGUGCUUGGUUGUAAGUUCUCUCACUGUAUUUUACUUUAUUCCAUAUCAUAUUUCACUAUAUUGUAUACUUCUCAUCUUUCUCCUAAUGGAAUGUGAAUUUCUUUAAUGCAGAGAAGAUCACAUGAUUCCUUCUGUAUGGAGAUUACACUCUAUUCUCUCUGGACAUUCUCCUAAUGUAAGAGGAAGCUAUUAAAAUAUAUUGAGUCAAAAAUGAA